AGGAUAAACGCUGGCGGCGUGCCUAACACAUGCAAGUCGAACGUCUCUUCUUUCGGGAAGAGGAGUGGCGGACGGGUGAGGAACACGUGGGAACCUGCCCUUCAGUGAGGAAUACCGGCGAGAAAUCGCCGACAAGACCGCAUAGCCCUCUCUGGUGAGAGCCAGAGAAGGAAAGCCUCGCAAGAGGCGCUGGAGGAGGGGCCUGCGUCCGAUUAGCUAGUUGGUGGGGUAAGAGCCUACCAAGGCGUCGAUCGGUAGCUGGUCUGAGAGGACGAUCAGCCACACUGGGAUUGAGAACGGCCCAGACUCCUACGGGGGGCAGCAGUGAGGAAUUUUCGGCAAUGGGGGAAACCCUGACCGAGCAACGCCGCGUGCAGGAAGACGGCCUUCGGGUUGUAAACUGCUUUUCUUUGGGUACGAGCAAGGACGGUACCAGAGGAAUCAGCCCGGCUCACUACGUGCCAGCAGCCGC
rnacentral:rRNA from 1 species